GCUGCUGUUAAAAAGCUCGUAGUUGGAUCAAGAGCUCGUCCGUGCACGGUGGCCGUUGUUUGCCACAUUGGCUCCGGUCAGUGUGGCGGCAGCGGAACAACCCCGUGCGUUCAACGGUCGACUCUAACAGAUCGAAACGGUUCCCUGUGAGUAAGCUCCUUAAUUGGGGCUGAAAGCGCCUACGCAUCAACCAUAUGCAUACGGGACGUCGAUCAAAGUUACUGUGAACAAACCAGCGUGUCCAAAGCAGGCUAGCGCCUGAAUGUUCGAGCAUGGAAUAACAAGGGAUCGAUUCUCUCGGUUCUUUUUGUUGGUUUUUAACCCGAGAAGGAGUAAUUCAGGCCACGGUGUCUGAGUUGGGAUCCGUGGGCUCCGGCUCACGCCCCAAUUAGGCCGUGUCCUUACGGGAUCAAUAGGGACUGACGGGGUCGUACCUACUUCCGCGUCAGAGGUGAAAUUCUUAGAUCGCGGGAAGAGGAACUUCUGCGAAAGCAUUCGACAAGAAUGUCUUCAUUAAUCAAGAACGAGAGUGUGGGGAUCGAAGAUGAUCAGAUACCGUCGUAGUCCAC
rnacentral:rRNA from 1 species